GCCGGGGUAGCUUAGCCUGGUCAAAGCGCCCGGCUCAUAAAACCGGGAGAUCCGGGGUUCGAAGCCCCGCCCCGGCACCA
rnacentral:tRNA from 1 species